rnacentral:rRNA from 1 species
GAGUGGCGAACGGGUGAGUAAUGAAUCGGAACGUGCCCGGUAGUAGGGGAUAACCAGUCGAAAGACUGGCUAAUACCGCAUACGACUACGGGUGAAAGCGGGGGACUCUUGGGCAACUGAGGGCCUCGCGCUAUCGGAGCGGCCGAUUUCCGAUUAGCUAGUUGGUGGGGUAAAGGCUCACCAAGGCGAUGAUCGGUAGCUGGUCUGAGAGGACGGCCAGCCACACUGGGACUGAGACACGGCCCAGACUCCUACGGGAGGCAGCAGUGGGGAAUUUUGGACAAUGGGCGAAAGCCUGAUCCAGCCAUGCCGCGUGCGGGAAGAAGGCCUUCGGGUUGUAAACCGCUUUUGGCAGGAACGAAACGGCGCGGGCUAAUACCUCGCGUUAAUGACGGUACCUGCAGAAUAAGCACCGGCUAACUACGUGCCAGCAGCCGCGGUAAUACGUAGGGUGCGAGCGUUAAUCGGAAUUACUGGGCGUAAAGCGUACGCAGGCGGCUUGGUAAGACAGAUGUGAAAUCCCCGGGCUCAACCUGGGAACUGCAUUUGUGACUGCCUGGCUCGAGUCUGUCAGAGGGGGGUGGAAUUCCACGUGUAGCAGUGAAAUGCGUAGAGAUGUGGAGGAACACCGAUGGCGAAGGCAGCCCCCUGGGAUGAGAC